rnacentral:misc_RNA from 1 species
GAUGAAGAACGUAGCGAAAUGCGAUAAGUAAUGUGAAUUGCAGAAUUCAGUGAAUCAUCGAAUCUUUGAACGCACAUUGCGCCCGCCAGUAUUCUGGCGGGCAUGCCUGUUCGAGCGUCAUUUCAACCAUCAAGCCCCCGGCUUGUGCUGGGGACCUGCGGCUGCCGCAGGCCCUGAAAAGCAGUGGCGGGCUCGCUGUCACACCGAGCGUAGUAGCAUACAUCUCGCUCUGGGCGUGCUGCGGGUUCCGGCCGUUAAACCACCUUCAUAACCCAAGGUUGACCUCGGAUCAGGUAGGAAGACCCGCUGAACUUAAGCAUAUCAAUAAGCGGAGGA